AGGAGUCAUGGAGUUGAUAAAGGAGGAAUGGGGACAGGAGCCUGGGGCGGGGGGCAGACACUGUUGCCUCCCCCACAGCCAUCACUCCCCACUUCCUCAUGAGAGCUGAGCCCCUCCCACUGUGAAACCCCUGCGGCGAGGGCAGGGGCAUGGCACCCAGUUUGGGCCAAUGGGAGUUGAGGGGGAGUCUCCCUGGAGACUUCCAGGAAUGGUUUUCCUCCCUGAUGAAAAGGGACUUUGGAGGACACACACUUCCUCCUUCCUUUGGACACAGAGACUAUGUGAUCUUGGAGCUGCAGUAGCCAUCUGGCCACGUGAGGAAGACAAUCUCAGAGAAACUAACCCAGAGUCCUCAGAACUGCUGAGCAGCUGAACUAACCAGUCACCAAUGCCAGACCUCUUAUUAUGGGGAAUAAUAACUUGCCUAUUGUUUCCACCACUCUCUUAGUCUGUUAUUUGGUUACCCGUUGCCUAAUCCAUCCUAAUGGAUACAGGGUUCUAAAACCCACUGCCUAGUUUUUCCUGGUGUACCCUCAAGAAAAAAAACAGUCAAAUGGUCAGACUGAUGUCACCCUAUGUAUGAGUGGGACCAUUUCCUUGUUCAAUUAAAGUUCGUUAGUUAUCCUUACGAACAACCAUUUAGCUGUCUGCGAUCUCCAGUUCUAUAUGACCAGUCUUGAACUCCAAACUCAUAUAUCCAAGUGCUUCCUUGAACACCUUUACUUGGAUGUCUACAAGUCACCUCACAUUUCACUGGGCUAAAAACAGAACUCUUGAAUUUCUAUCUCUAGACCAUCACCCACCCAGUUGCUCAGUUAAACCAUGAGAACCAUCCUUGAUCCUUCACUCUCCCUCACCUUCCACAUCAAGUUCUUUCUUCUUUUGCAACAUAGCCUGAACCCAUCAACUUACCUCUGUCGCCAUCCUCACCUCUGCCUGUGCCACUGCUGUGGCUGCCACCAUAUCCCCAGCCCCCAAUCCACCCUCCAUGCUGAACCAAAGCAACACUUGAAAAGUGGAAAUCAGAUGGUGCCACAUCCCUGCCCCCAAACCCUCCAAUGGCUUCCGCAUACUUAGACUUAACACCCAUUCACUCUUCACCAUGACCAUGGCCCUGACAGAUCUGGCCUCUGCCAACCUCCUGCUGUGCUCCCUGCUAUCAUGUCUUAUCUCCAGCUACCUGGCUUCCUUGCUAGUCUUCAGGCAUACCUCAGGCUGUGAGAGCUAGCAGUGCCUUCUACCUGAAAUCCUUUCCCUAGAGCCUCCCUCAGCUGCCUUUCAGCUUGAAUAUGACCUUCUCUGACAGGUGUUCCCUGUCCACAGGGGCCCCACGUCACUCCCUCUCACAUGCCUCUGCUGUGUGUUCUUCUCAGGAGCGAUCUCCAGCUGAGACUGUUCAGUGUGUGCUCCUCCAGGCUAGAACGUGAGCUCCUUACCAGCAGAGACCUCGCCUCUCACUGUACGCUCAAUGCCUAACACACGGUGAAAACACUGGGAGAAGACUGAAGAGAACUUCUCAAAGUGUAAUAGUCGAUGGGGACAGGAUUCAAAGUCAAGACUGUUUAUAUAAAAGUCAGGGACUCUUUAUAUCCACCUUUCCCCCUCUUCCCAGGGUUCUGGCUACAGAUAUCCCAGGAGAUGUCCCAACCGAAAAGGAACAGAGAACAUUA